AAAUUGAAGAGUUUGAUCAUGGCUCAGAUUGAACGCUGGCGGCAGGCCUAACACAUGCAAGUCGAACGGUAACAGGAAGCAGCUUGCUGCUUCGCUGACGAGUGGCGGACGGGUGAGUAAUGUCUGGGAAACUGCCUGAUGGAGGGGGAUAACUACUGGAAACGGUGGCUAAUACCGCAUAACGUCGCAAGACCAAAGAGGGGGACCUUCGGGCCUCUUGCCAUCAGAUGUGCCCAGAUGGGAUUAGCUUGUUGGUGAGGUAACGGCUCACCAAGGCGACGAUCCCUAGCUGGUCUGAGAGGAUGACCAGCCACACUGGAACUGAGACACGGUCCAGACUCCUACGGGAGGCAGCAGUGGGGAAUAUUGCACAAUGGGCGCAAGCCUGAUGCAGCCAUGCCGCGUG
rnacentral:rRNA from 5 species